UACGUAGGGUGCAAGCGUUGUCCGGAAUUACUGGGCGUAAAGGGCUCGUAGGCGGCCAACUAAGUCAGACGUGAAAUCCCUCGGCUUAACCGGGGAACUGCGUCUGAUACUGGAUGGCUAGAGGUUGGGAGAGGGAUGCGGAAUUCCAGGUGUAGCGGUGAAAUGCGUAGAUAUCUGGAGGAACACCGGUGGCGAAGGCGGCAUCCUGGACCAAUUCUGACGCUGAGGAGCGAAAGCCAGGGGAGCAAACGGG
rnacentral:rRNA from 1 species